GUGGUCGCAUUGCAACGUCAGCUAUAUUGUCCUGCAAACACGAUCUGAUAGCACAGAACAUCGAUUCAUCAUUUGUCAUGAAAACACAGGUGAUUUGCACUGGAGUCCGGAUAUGUUAUGCAGUUUCUGAACCUUUCGUACAGAACACCACAGCGUUCAAAGAGACACUGCUGACUUGCAUAGAACGAGGCCUGACAUUUCUGGAGAUGAUGUAUCCAGACGAGUUUGCUGCUUUCAACGUGAACGUCAC